GUCAGAGGCGUCGUGCUGUAAUUUGACAUUCGAAAUUAAUUAUAACCGAAAAAAAGGCGAAGCACAAAACCUGUUUCUGAGGUUAAAGGUUGGCAAAUUUUCCGUGCAAUAAGGAAAAUGCUGGGGACAGUGGACACAAAAGCUUACGGAAUAAUAAUGGAGGACUGCAGAUACAUAUCCCAUGUCAACAUUAAUUAGGGUCCGGUAUUAUUCGCAUCUAAUGCCGGGCAAUAUUGUCCAGGGUCCAGAUAAACAUAUGACUCCAAAACAGGUCAGUUCGGGGACAGAGCAAUUAAGAUGUUUAGCGUUCGGAAUAUUUUUCGUAAAUGGAGGAAGGAGACAAAGGGUUUUGUUGUGCCCAUCAACUAGGAGGAAUUUGUUUUGACAGGCUUUACUUUUUUUGCCAUUCAUAAUUUAAGCCGAUUUAAAAAGUGGCGCCAGUUAAGUCGACCGUGGGCGUUCAGACGACACAGGAGUGGGCGUGGCCCUGGCUUGCAUCACGGCUCACAAACACAAUAGAGAAAAGAUAAGGCGCUUUAGAUGCGACAGCUUUUUUGCCCAACUGGACAGAUGAAGAUAUGUCUACACACGAAGAAAAGACAUAUUCCAAUUACAUUCAUG
rnacentral:sRNA from 1 species